GGCCAGCGCUGGCUCCAAGGUCUCGCCUUCGCGAGCGGGCUGUGCGCUGAGGUGCUGUGGGUCCCGUUCUGUUACGUUCCCCGACCCGAGUGGGGGGCGGCUGCAGAGUGGUGGUGCGGUAGCCCCCGGGAGCCGGCCCGGCGGUACGGCUGGGCCCGGGAGCACGGCUGGGCGCAGGGCUCCCCGUACAGGCGUUGCCGGCCGCCCGGCGCUGGGGCUGUGCAGCCGGAGAGGCCCUCGGGGCGCGCCCCGGGGCUGCGCAGUGAGUCCGCGGCGCAGGAGGCCCCGCGGGUGUCGUGGGGUGGCCCCCCAUCCCCGCGCCUCUGGGGACCGGGGUAGCUGAGCUGAAGGGCUUCUUCCAGAAGCCAAUAUAGGAUUUCAGGGUGAGAGAGCGAGUUGCUGUAAGGGGCAGGUGCUCUCGGUGGCUGGAAGAGGCGGAGUGUAAAGCUUGAAAAUAAACCUGAAUGCAUUGAGGUAAAUAUCAUGCAAAGAAUGGAAAAUAAAUGCAACUUCAGAGAACAACAGACUGGAGAUCACAGGAGGAAGAAAACAAAAGCAUCAGCGGCCACUGUAACGUGCCUUAAGGCACUCGGAGGUGCGUUUGAGAAGGCAGUAGUAGGGCAAAUGGUCAGAAAGGAGGUAUCUCCACCAGUGAAGUUCAGGCUGACAGCCCACAGCGUGGAAGAGAGUUUUGUGGUUGCAACUUGGGAAGCAUCCACGUCAUUCCAAAACUUGAAGGUGGCCAGCAAUUGCAACUGUGUUUGGACAGACAGGAAACAGAGGAAGGUGAAAGAACCUGCAGCUGUCCAGUUGUUGUCCAGAAUGACUCUGGGGGACACCCUGUGACUUGCCAAAGCGCAGUUGCUGAGAAGCCUCUCCAAGCCUGCGUUUGUGGAUGAACCCAAAAAAAAAAAGGGCGGGGGCAUAACUGGGUUGAUUAUAGCUUAUUUAGUCACCCUAUUCCACUUGCACAACUGAAUAAUAAUUUCAAAACAGUGGAGGAAGACAACUUUUACUUUUGUUAAGGGUUUUGUAACACAAAAGAAAUACUACAUCCUCUUCAACACAGGGAGAUUGAUUACAGCUGAAGAUUAUUAAUUCUUAGUGAAUGAGAUUACAUGCAUCUUUUCAUAGCAUGAAUACAAUGCUAAUGGUUUGUUACAGAAGUUCUCUGGAAUACCUCCUUCCUCUUCCAGAAAAUAAAUCUUCUAAAAGCUUUUCUGAAUGCUGUAAAGAAUAUUGGUUUUAAGGACUUAUGGAGGAAGACAAUCUUGCCUCGCCAGCUUCAUCUUCCUCACAAGAGGCCACCUCCGUUUCAACCGGCGGCGCAGACAGUUUUGCCAUCAGCGGAUCGGGGGGUGGACAAGAGGGCCGCUGUGUCACUGGGACAGGAAUCCCACUAGCUGGAGCCUUGUCUUGGGUAGCUUUUCCUUGGAUGGCGAGCCCCCUCCUCUCUCGGGCUCAAGCACAGAUCAGAAGCCUGCGACAGCAUACGUCGAUCUUUUGCUCCGUGGUCGCUGCUACCAGUGCUUCUCCGAGCUCGCUGUCCGGUGGAGAAGGAUGGGGGUCCCUGUUCGGGUGCCACUUGCGACAGGCGAGGGAAACAAGCAGUCGACUCAAUAUGAGUGAUAAAGCAAGCUUCCACUUUAUUGUGGCACAAUCAGACUUUUAUAUUGCUACAACUAAUUAUACAUAUUUGGCACUUAUUCAUUGGCUAAAUUCUAAAGGUUACAUUACCAUACUCCUCCUCUUUGCAGUUUUGC